GAGAUGAGGAAACUGAGACAGAGAGGCCAUCGCGUGGCGGGCGCCCUCUGAGACCAGACUGAGGCUCUGGUCUCCCUGCGUCGGGGUCCAACGCUCUCGGCGCCACGCAAGGGAUAUUGGGAGCCAAGGAAGGGCUGGAUGCGUUCCGCAGGUGUGGAGAGGAGCGGAGAAACGCUGCCAUUGGGGUGUUUAACAUCACAUGAUUCCAGGACUUUGAAAUCAUCCUCAGUUUAACACUGGGAUGUCGAACAUGCAAUUUUCAAUGGACACCAAAGAGGAAUGCAGGCCAUAGCUGAGCCACUGGAAAAUCAGUCUGAACUGUUCUCUGGGGGGAAGGAGUCAUCCAGCUUCCAGCCAAAGCAAAGUGGACUAUCUGUCUUUGAACUUCAACCCCUGGCAAAGCAAAGCAUUAGGAAGUUCUCAAGUUGAGAAGGCCAUCCAAGCAACAUGGGCUGCCCAUACAGUAAGCAUCAGAUCUGAAGUCAGAGGGAUCCAUGCUUGCAUCUUGGCUCCAGUAUUCACCAUCUGGGCGACCCUGAGGAAGACAGAGCAGACUGAUCAGGCCAUCUUGAGCUAUGGCUUUAGACAGAAGAGAGUGAAAAGCAAGGACAGACAAACAAACACCAGGUUCAGCCUCAUGUUACUAUGCUGCGGGGAUCCAGGUACUCCUUUAACUGGUCUUUGGAAUUUUCCUGCAAAGCACACUUUCCCCCUCUUCCAAAUGGGAGGGGGAUCCCUUAUCUACCCCAUUCCCUGCUUUGGGUUUUGUCUUGUAAAGGAGUUGUCUGAGGGGGAAUAAAAUUGCCAGGAUCUGAUUGGAAACCCUCAGAACCCCACUGUUGUUCUCAAUGGGGGGGGGGACAGAGAGAGAGAGCUCCAGGGAUGAGCUCUCCAGGUUGACUAAUGGGCAGUAUGUAUCCAGAAUCUCCUAGCUCCUAAUGGUUUUUUUUCAGGGACAACCAUAGUUUAUUUGUGCACAUUUACAUUAUCAGAAUUAGCAUUAUCAAGGCUCUUAGAAGUAGUGAUUCUGUCAUAUUCAUAUAGUAAGGUUUUUUCCCAGCAAUAUCCUUCUACUUUCCAUCACCACAAUAUACAUAUAUACAGGGAAUGCUAAAAUGUGGUCAGUUACAGCACUGCAUCAAUUGUUUGUGUGUGUGUGUAUAUAUAUAUGUAUGUAUGUAUAUAGAGAUAGACAUACACUAUAGAUCCUAGCUACUAAGGAGAGUCCCCUUAGAAGUCAAGCAAAUGAUACAUUAAAGUACAAUGAUCCCCAUACUGG
rnacentral:lncRNA from 1 species